GUAACUUCUGAGUCACAUUUGGACGAUAGAAAGACGAUAGUACACAUUUUACAAAAACAAAAAGAAUCGGGAUCGCGAAGAAGUAACUUCUGAGACACUUCCGCGCGAUAAAAAGACGAUAGUACGUGCCAAAUUACGUGCUUAUCGUGAGCUGUACGAUUAUUUAAACCUUUUUACGGACAAGCUAGCUGUGCACAUUACUUGGCGUGUAACUGCGGAGAAACCCAGCAUCCAACGAUUCUCAACAUAUUUAAUUGUAAAAGAAAUGGUUAUUAAUAAAUUUCUUAUGUCGACGGAGCUGGACCUAAAGAACAUUGCUUAGCAAAAUUUCCUACAUGCCAGGCACCGUGUAUACAAGCGGACAAAGCACGUAUACAAAAAAUAAAUGCA